GACGAACGCUGGCGGCGUGCUUAACACAUGCCAGUCGAACGGAAAGGCCUCUUUCGGGGGGUACUCGAGUGGCGAACGGGUGAGUAACACGUGAGUAACCUGCCCUUGACUUUGGGAUAACUUCAGGAAACUGGGGCUAAUACCGGAUAGGAGCUCCUGCUGCAUGGUGGGGGUUGGAAAGUUUCGGCGGUUGGGGAUGGACUCGCGGCUUAUCAGCUUGUUGGUGGGGUAGUGGCUUACCAAGGCUUUGACGGGUAGCCGGCCUGAGAGGGUGACCGGCCACAUUGGGACUGAGAUACGGCCCAGACUCCUACGGGAGGCAGCAGUGGGGAAGAUUGCACAAUGGGUGGAAGCCUGAUGCAGCAACGCCGUGUGCGGGAUGACGGCCUUCGGGUUGGAAACCGCUUUCGCUCAUGACGAAGCUUUGUGUGACGGUAGUGGGUAAAGAAGCACCGGCUAACUACGUG
rnacentral:rRNA from 1 species